UCCCUGGUGGCUUAGCUGGUAAAGAAUCCGCCUGCAAUGCGGGAGACCUGGGUUCAACCCCUGGGUUAGGAA
rnacentral:tRNA from 1 species